rnacentral:rRNA from 1 species
UACACUCCUACGGGAGGCAGCAGUGGGGAAUAUUGGACAAUGGGCGCAAGCCUGAUCCAGCCAUGCCGCGUGAGUGAUGAAGGCCCUAGGGUUGUAAAGCUCUUUCACCGGUGAAGAUAAUGACGGUAACCGGAGAAGAAGCCCCGGCUAACUUCGUGCCAGCAGCCGCGGUAAUACGAAGGGGGCUAGCGUUGUUCGGAUUUACUGGGCGUAAAGCGCACGUAGGCGGACUAUUAAGUCAGGGGUGAAAUCCCGGGGCUCAACCCCGGAACUGCCUUUGAUACUGGUAGUCUUGAGUUCGAGAGAGGUGAGUGGAAUUCCGAGUGUAGAGGUGAAAUUCGUAGAUAUUCGGAGGAACACCAGUGGCGAAGGCGGCUCACUGGCUCGAUACUGACGCUGAGGUGCGAAAGCGUGGGGAGCAAACAGGAUUAGAAACCCCUGUAGUCCCAUGA